UGGGGAAUUUUGGACAAUGGGCGCAAGCCUGAUCCCGCAAUGCCGCGUGCAGGAUGUAGGCCUUCGGGUUGUAAACUGCUUCUGUCAGGGAAGAAAUCCUUUAAGCUAAUACCUCGGGGGGAUGACGGUACCUGAAGAAUAAGCACCGGCUAACUACGUGCCAGCAGCCGCGGUAAUACGUAGGGUGCAAGCGUUAAUCGGAAUUACUGGGCGUAAAGCGUGCGCAGGCGGUUAUGCAAGACAGAUGUGAAAUCCCCGGGCUCAACCUGGGAAUUGCCUUUGUGACUGCAAGACUUGAGGGCGGCAGAGGGGGAUGGAAUUCCGCGUGUAGCAGUGAAAUGCGUAGAUAUGCGGAGGAACACCGAUGGCGAAGGCAAUCCCCUGGGCCUGCACUGACGCUCAUGCACGAAAGCGUGGGGAGCAAGCA
rnacentral:rRNA from 1 species